rnacentral:rRNA from 1 species
AGCAGCCGCGGUAAUUCCAGCUCCAAUAGCGUAUAUUUAAGUUGUUGCAGUUAAAAAGCUCGUAGUUGAAUUUCGGGGUCAGUAGGUCGGUCGUGCCACUGGUAUGAACUGGUUUUACUGAUUCCUCCCUCUUGAAGAACUGUAAUGCCAUUAAUUUGGUGUUGCAGGGAAUCAGGACUGUUACUUUGAAAAAAUUGAGUGUUUAAAGCAGGCUUUAGCUUGAAUACAUUAGCAUGGAAUAAUGAAAUAGGACGUUUGAUCCUAUUUUGUUGGUUUCUAGGAUUGACGUAAUGAUUAAUAGGGGUAGUGGGGGGCAUUAGUAUUCAAUUGUCAGAGGUGAAAUUCUUGGAUUUAUUGAAGACUAACUACUGCGAAAGCAUUUGCCAAGGAUGUUUUCAUUAAUCAAGAACGAAAGUUAGGGAUCGAAGACGAUCAGAUACCGUCGUAGUCUUAACCAUAAACUAUAGCCGACUAGGGAUCGGAUGAUGUUUAAUUUUUUAAUGUACUUCUAGUUCGGCGU